AUUAUCUUUUUUCCAUAGCUAAGUACAUCGCCCCGACGGACAGAAGCCGAUACAUUUAAACAGAAGUGGCAAGCCCUGGGUGAAUGGAAGCCCGACGUUUGCGGCCGAUAUGAGACGAAAAGAAGACAGAAGGAAUAAGGAGAAGCCAGUCAAAUGAUCUCGAGGCUUUUGCCAAGAAAACAAGGAGUUCUGUGGCCAGAUUGCACAGGAAGCUAACCUCCAGGCCGGAGUCGACUAUGAGUUUCAGAUCAACGACUGAAAGCUACUAAAAAACCGGAAGACAGGACACCGACUGAUGAUGGGGAUGACACUGAUGACGACAUCAAAGUCAAGAAACUAAAAAACUUCGAAAAAUGACCUGGCACAAGUGGCUGUCAAGAAAGCGAUCCACAAGGGUAAGAAAAAAGUGUUCUGAAGUGACACAAAGAAAACUCUGGAAAACACUACGAAAGUAAUGAAAAACAACACGAAAACAGCCCUGAAAAAAGUUGUGGUUAACAAGAAAGAAGCGCUGAAAAAUGCUACCAAAGAAGUGUUUAACCCAAGCGCUACGAGCGGAGAGAGUCAACUACAAGUCACGAGCACCAAAUUCUAAAGGACCGCCAUUCUCAGUAGUACACAGAUUCACCCUAUACUAUCAGCAUUGAUUCAAUUUGAAGCAUACCUGAGGAAUACUGAGUACUGUCAGGUUGAAGUGAAUCUCACCGUAGGUAGUGAGAAGUCAGGUGAGGUUUUGGAAUUAAUUGGAGAGGUAAUUAUGUGGAUUAUUAUUGUGUUUCUAAUAAAACGGUAUCCCGCAGUUACAAUACGGUUUUUGUUUGCUCUACAAUAAUUGAGUUGAAUUAUACGGUUUGGGAUGGAAUAAAAAUUGAAUUUUUUUCAGAGAUUCCUGCAAGUUUUAUCAAAAUAAUUAUUUACUAAAGGAAGUACAGUAUUAUGAAUAUACUCACCAAUACUUUGAAAUAUUUGUAGCCUUCACUUCUUCAGAUUUGCAAUAUUCCAAGAACUUGACAUUAUUACUCAUCACUCUUCAUAAAUUAUUGUAGGGUUUUUAAUUAUUGUAAGCUGCUAUUUUAAGAAAUAUAUGACUGUUCAAUAAAUUGGUUAUUGUAUUGCCAA